CGCGAUGCUUCUAGUAGCCCGAGAGAUAGUUUCAUGUCUUGGUUGCGUGUGUCUUAUUUUUAGUUGUAUGUGUUUAAUUGUAUGUGCUUAUUUUUAGUUGCAUGUUGUAUUUGCAUUUAUGUUUCUUGAUCAGAAUUUGCAGAUUUUGUUUCCUUUACAUUAUUUUCGUUGGCUGCCAGCCUUAGGCCUAGUAACCUCAUGUGCAGCCAAAGAUUGUGCCAUGUGCUCCAACGUUUUCAGUGAAAAUGGCAGUAAUGAAUUGAAGCUGUAAGAAUUUACUUCAUCGUGUAUGUGGAUUACUGGAUCUAAUAUGCGAAGGCCUGGCUUCACCACAUAAAGACCACCAGUACGGUAUUCUGUUUUGUGACCUCAGUGUAAAUCUAAAUAAAUAAGUUACCU